rnacentral:rRNA from 1 species
AUGGAUAUGCUAGUCAUGGUCUUCGUUCUGUGUAUAGUCGGCCUGCUUUUUUGGGUCCUUGCUCUGGGUCUCGUCGGCUUGGAGGCAUCCCGGCUACCGGAGUUCUCCGUGGUCAUGGACGGAUUUUCCGACCUCGAGGACCACGUCGCGCGGACGUUCAAUCUCACCGUGGUCAUCAACAACUUCGGGGGCAAGUCCGAGGCCUGCGUGGGCGGCGAGGCAGUGGUCUUAUACGGAGGAGUGCCACUCGCCGGCUGUGGCGUGCAGGAUCUGUGCGUGCCGCCCAAGUGCUCCACGAAGUUCCAUAUCGUCGCCGCGAGCGGAGGGGUGGGUCUACCGGGGGAGCUGGCCGAGCGCAUGGCGGACGAGAAGCACGCUGGCGGCGCGGUGCAGGUAGAGGUUCGCGUCGUCUCGCCGAAGCACCGGUCGUUCGCGUCGUGCAUGGCGGCGUUGGCUCGUGGGGCAGCGGCGCCGCCGUCCCCAUGCCAGGGCGUGUUUCUCUCCGAUGAAUCCGACGGCGUUAGGCGUACGGCUGACCCGCCCGGCUUUCUGUUCUGA